GCUUGGGCUUCCAGUUCAAAUUUGAGCGACGAACGGUAAAGUAAACAGAGCAAGCGAGAGGCGGACAAACCGAAGCGGACUCGAAGGCGCGCGAAUAAAAAGUGAAUUCGAAUUGGAGUAGCGGUAAAGGCGAGCAUUACCAUAUUGAUGGAGAGGAAAACAGGCGGAAAAAUACGGAAAAUAUAUAGCGCAUAAAUUACGAAAACUUUUUCGUUGCUGUUGCUUUGGUAAAUGCGCUUUGCUUUGCUUACAUUAGUGCCGACGCGCGCGCGUUGAAGUUAUUUUCGGAGUUUUGUGCGUUUUCCCUUUCCGUACGUAUACCGUUCGGUAUUGCCAUAUCCAUUCGCGGUUUUCCCGUUUCAACGGUACAUUUGCAUAUUUUUUGCGGGCGGGACGACAACAGUCCCCUCCAACAUUUCCGCUGUGCUGUGCGCAAAAGUGCGAGGCGAGUGAUAAAACACGAGAAAAGAAGAGCGACGAAAAAGGAUGCCACGAAACGCAUUUGAAUGCCACAAAGAGCCGCAAGCCACAAAAAAAAUAAAGAGAUCAAGCCAAAAAGUUUAAGUGUUUUUCCGUUUUUCCGUUUUUCAAUUUUCCUGUGGUGUGUAAUUUUCACUUUUCAGAGGAGGAGAAACCCUGGACAUCCAAUUGGACUGUAUCCCUGAUGCCAAACGAUCUGGCUGACACAAUGUUACAGUGCCUAAAAAUUGUAUCUUUUACAUUAUAUUAAG
rnacentral:sRNA from 1 species